GUCAGACCAGGUGCCUCUUCUAUUGGGGACAGACAAGGCAGCCCAGGGGGAGGAAAAGAUCCCAAAGGUAGGCACCGUAGUCAGAGACAGCCCCUUCUUCUGCCGUUAGGAGUCCCACACGAAGACCAAGCUACACAACUGCUCCACAGGUGAAGAAGUUCCAGCUCAGUUCCAGCCCACGCAUGCUUUCCGUUGGCGGGUCAGUCUCUGCGAGCCCCUAUUGGCCCGGGAUUUCGGUGAGCUGGGCUCACAGUGUGGAGGACACUUCUCCUGCACAUGGGGAACAGGUUCAAGGUCUUAUUUCAGACACUGUGCUGGCCCGCGUCUACUUUCCUCCAGCCCUCAUUCAGUUCUUAAGAUGUACGCGUGAGGUAAAACGCAAAGGACCGACAAUCCCAAGAGUCAGCAAGGAAGCAGGGCAACUGGACCUCUCAGUCCCUGACGCUGGUAUACACGGGAGCCACCACCUUAGAGUUCGGAGGCAGCGUCCAGCUGUCGCUCUGCCUCCUCCAACUGGGGCAAAGCCGUAGAAGCGCAUCACGGCAUCGGAUAGAUCACUGUUGUGAGCUCAGCAUGAUGGUCUCCCACUUCGAUGGGUUUUUAAAAGGCAAAACUCAUCUAUGAUGAGGAAGAGAAGAGUGGUUGUCUCUGGGAGACGCCUGCAUACUAACAGGGUAAACAUCUCACAUCGGCUUGCUUUGCCAAAUGCAAGACACCUCCAAAUAAAACGAAG
ensembl:lncRNA